rnacentral:rRNA from 1 species
CGGCCAGACUCCUACGGGAGGCAGCAGUGGGGAAUAUUGGGCAAUGGGCGCAAGCCUGACCCAGCAACGCCGCGUGAAGGAAGAAGGCUUUCGGGUUGUAAACUUCUUUUCUCAGGGACGAAGCAAGUGACGGUACCUGAGGAAUAAGCCACGGCUAACUACGUGCCAGCAGCCGCGGUAAUACGUAGGGGGCAAGCGUUAUCCGGAUUUACUGGGUGUAAAGGGAGCGUAGACGGCGAUGCAAGUCUGAAGUGAAAGGCGGGGGCCCAACCCCCGGACUGCUUUGGAAACUGUAUAGCUGGAGUGCAGGAGAGGCAGGCGGAAUUCCUAGUGUAGCGGUGAAAUGCGUAGAUAUUAGGAGGAACACCAGUGGCGAAGGCGGCCUGCUGGACGAUGACUGACGUUGAGGCUCGAAAGCGUGGGGAGCAAACAGGAUUAGAUACCCCUGUA